GAAAAACAUUCACAAUGGAGUAAGCAAGUGUCACAGAACAGACGUUUACUCUUGAUUACGUUGAAACUGAUUGAAGUCUUUGGUGUGUAAGUCUAAUACCGAACCGAAGCAAUUUUUGAGAUCAGCUUAAAAUAAUCCCUUUUGGUCAAAAUAAAAUAAAAAAUCUGAAUAACACUGCCAUUUAUGUACGAGAAUCAUGUACCAAAAGAAUAUGUUCAAGUCUGUGAUUUCAGUGCUCUAUUGCGGUCCCAUCUUAUUAAGUACGUCAGGAUCAUUGCAAACGACUGGACAAAUAACAUCAACAUUGACUAGCGUCAAGACAACAAACGGAGAAACGUUAACAAGAAAUGUGAGCAUGUCAACAUUCAAACCUACAGGAAGAUCUAUAAACAGAAACAUUUAUGUGACUACAACGAUGACUUCUAACUUUAAGAUGUUCAAUAAGACUGAGUUUACGACAACUUCAGAACAACCAACUUCAGGAGGGCCAGAGAUAUCAACCAUAACACGGACACACUCGCUGACUCUCUUUACAAUCUUGACCAAAGUGUUUCUCCCACUUUUUAGCGUUGUUCUUCUCUUCCUACUAUUGACUUAUUUAGCGUUAGUGCUCAGAGAAUUCUGGUCUAGAAAAAGAACGCUCUCCGAUUCAUCUGCUGGUGCGGGGGAAGAACAUGGUGAUGUGGUAAACUACAAAGUCCACUCUGAAGUCACACAAUCACAACUUACUCAAACGAAAGCAGCCGAGAAAACUUCAGGUUCUGACAAAUGUUUAAAGACAUGCCAUUCUCAGGACGAUUCCUAUGUCAACGUGCAAACAAUGCAAGGUGUUAACUAUGAUAAGAUCAGUGCAACACUAGAUCAGAGUGAGCCCUACAACAACCUUGUCCUCUAUGGUAAAGUGUUGAAAACCACGCGCAAUGUUCACUCUGAAUCAACUUUUCUCUACGUCAAUACAGCCAAAUCGUCCGAAUAUUUAAAUUCUCAGAUUGUUUUUGACGGAAUCGUUAAUGAGACAAUUAUGUACAAUAAUAUAUCUGAGGUGUCUAAUAGAAACUAGCAACACAACUAGAAAUAGAGUAUUUGUGUAAAGUAAAGACCGGAUGAGAGCACGCCUACAACCGUACUGAGUGUGUGUACAUAUAUUCAAGAACGUUGCAUUGGAUUUGUUGAAGGAGUCUUUGAAAGCUCACAAUUCACUUCUUAGAAAAAAAAAACUUUCACCUUCACUUUUUUGUCUUUCUCACUUUCCUUCACUCCCCACUGUUUUCACGAAGCUAAAAUAUCAACUCACUCUGUUAAAACGUUUGUACACGCUAUUUCUUCCACACCCCAAGUCGGAUCAAGUUGAAAUUUGGCACAAUUAUUUCUUGUACCUGACAAAACAAAAAUAUAAAAAAAUGAGUUAAUUGGGUAUUGGUAAUUAAUUAUUUUGUCAUGUAUCGAACAAGGAAAGAAAUUGUACUUGACACAUGUGGUGGCAUUAGUUGAUUUAGUCCCCUUUAUACUUUGUGUACACAAUUAGGUAGUCGCUUAAAAGUUUGAAACUUAUAAAAAUAUAAAACAAUUAUUUUUUCAUAAGCACUUUGGUGGUUAGUGUAUCAGGUUGAGAAGGUUUCACCCAUCGAGUUCAAAUUUACGUUGUACAACUUUUAAAAAUACAAUUCAUUUAAAUAGCGAUCAGAGUGAUAUCCCUUCUCACCCCGCCCCUACCUCUUUUCCAGACUGGUCCAGACAAGUGAUAGGAUCAUAGAGUAGUGAGAAAUCUAACAGCACACAAUUGCGAUAAACAAAAACAAUUGGUCAAAAUGUUUCUAUUCUCACAGGUUUAUUAUUGUUAAUCAAUAUCUUUAUACAUUUAAUUUCAUGUCUGAUCCAAACUAAUUGAUACAAUUAUAUUUAAUAUAAUAUUUGUAGUUUUUUUUUUUUAAAGUACAUUUUCUUAUUACAUAAAUCUUUUUUAACAUAACCAUUAACUUUAUAAUGAUAGAGGCAAAAAGUUCAUUAUAUACAUGUGUAUCGAGACAUGGUUUAGUCCAGACAGUGUUACUCCCUGCCCCUUCUAUUAUACUUAUUUUCAACUACAGGGACACUAUUAUUAACUUCCUUGUUAGAAAAAAAGGUAUUUAAGACUUUCCAGAAAACAACAGCGGUGAUAUUGUGUUUACAAAAGUUUAAAUGUGAACUUCAAUGAAAGAACAUGCUGAAUGAGGCGCUAUGUAACUUGAUAGUAGGUGUGUCUAAGGUUAUCACAGUGUGAAUGUCUUCCUAGUUGACGCAAAUAUCUUGAGGAUGUAAACAGAAUCUUUCUUUUAUGUUGUUAUUGGCAACGACGAUCGACCUUGACAUUCAAUGGACCUACAUACAGCAAAACUGCCCAACAUCCGGCCCCUAAUAAAAAAUAUCCUGACGAUAGACUUUCUUAAAAAAAAAAAAAUUAAAUUAAUGGCUUUUAUAUAGCGCUACUUUCAUGCUUAUAACAUGCUCAGUUGUUGUUUGUUUACUGCAACUGGUGUGUUCUUAGCUUCGAAGUGUUUUUAUAAACUCGGUGUGAGACAUUCGUUUAUAGUUGUAACAGGUUGUUCAUCACAAUAAAUCCUUUACUAAGACUAAGGUGUCUCGACACACAGCUUUCUGAUACAGACCUUUUUGUAUCUCAAAUCUCAGUUGCAGUUUUUUUUUUUUCAUAAUAUUGGUCAAUUUAUGUACAUCAGCAUUAAAAAAUUGAAAUGGAUAAAGCAUUAUUUUAAAGUUAAACAUUGGAAUUGUUCAUUCUAGGAUGUAGUGCAAACUGUUUAUGUCUGUUUGGUGUUGAAACGGGGACACUAACACUCACGUCUUCAAAUCACAAUGAAGAAAAGCGGCGCUGAGAAAUAGAAAAGUUUCUCUCAGAAAAGUGUCUGAACAUUGUUGCAAGCACACAAUAAACUUUUUCUUCUCAAAGGAGACUUUAUUAAAUAAUGUAUUAUCUCGGCGAUUACAAUUCCAUAAAGCUAGAGUCAAAGAAUGGCUUAGCCAAUAGCGUAAUACCAACAAACGCACAACACUGGUCCACUGCCGACUCCAGUGUAGACUCAAUCUAAAAUCUAAACAAUAACUCCCUAUAGAGACACAAGAAAGACAAAUUGAAAGUUUUAAUCUAAUAUGCAAUAUCAGCGAAACAGCUUCAAAAUGUAGUACUGCCUUAGAUAGUCAGGGGUACACAGACGAACCUCAAAGAAACAUUACAUCAGCAUAAUAACAGAAAAAAACUUUAUAAGCUAAACAUCAAGGCAACAAAGAAGAUGCGUUCAAAAAUUGUGCGACUAACAAAAAUUGGUGCUAGAAUAGUAUAACCUAAACACCGACAAAACUGGCCAAGAACACGGACACUGAUGCGAUUCAACGAGCUAGUGUAAAAAUUUGAUAACACGCGAAUCUACCGUUUAUCCUAAGAAAACUCUAAAUGAAAAAAAAAUACCCAAACAUUACGGUACUAUUGUAUUUUUAGAUCUGGAGUUACUUUGCCUCUAUAGCAUAAAGUUGUAUCACGUGAUGGAUAUCAUCCACUUCAUAGGUCAUCGUGCAGUGACACUUUUUUAAUGAAAUCAACUCUGAAUUUGAAGACAUGAACAGUUAGUAUGUACAUUUCAUUUGCCUCUCAGUAAUAUUUUGUUAUGUGUAAUGCACUAUUGUAAAACAAAUUUCCUUCAAGAAAAUAAAGAUAUUUGUGUCAGUAGAGCUGCCUUAAAUCCUGUCAACAAUUUCUUAUCACUGACCUAGUUUCGUAAAGGUUAGGCAGCAAUGGCACAGAGCAC